rnacentral:tRNA from 1 species
GGUGGUUCAGUGGUAGAGCGCCUGCCUCGCAUGCAUGAGGCCCUGGGUUCAAUUCCUCAGCACCA